rnacentral:rRNA from 1 species
AGAGGGUGCAAGCGUUAAUCGGAAUAACUGGGCGUAAAGGGCUCGUAGGCGGUUAAUUAAGUUUGGUGUGAAAGUCCAGGGCUCAACCUUGGGAUGCCAUCAGAAACUGGUUAACUAGAGUUCAGUAUAGGGUAGCGGAAUUUCCGGUGUAGCGGUGAAAUGCGUAGAUAUCGGAAGGAACAUCAGAGGCGAAAGCGGCUACCUGGGCUGAAUCUGACGCUGAGGAGCGAAGGCGUGGGUAGCGAACAGGAUUAGAUACCCUGGUAGUCCACGCAGUAAACGAUGAAGACUAGACGUAUGAAUGCAUUAAGCCCAUUUGUGUGUCGCAGCGAACGCGAUAAGUUUUCCGCCUGGGAGUACGGUCGCAAGAUUA